rnacentral:rRNA from 1 species
GAUGAACGCUAGCGACAGGCUUAACACAUGCAAGUCGAGGGGCGGCAGGGGAGUAGCAAUACUCCCGCUGGCGACCGGCGCACGGGUGAGUAACACGUAUGCAACCUGCCCUUGUCAGGGGGAUAAGCGGAAGAAAUUCCGUCUAAUACCGCAUAACGCUGCGGGGAGACAUCUCCCUGCAGCCAAAGAUUUAUCGGACAAGGAUGGGCAUGCGGCGCAUUAGCUUGUUGGCGGGGUAACGGCCCACCAAGGCGACGAUGCGUAGGGGUUCUGAGAGGAAGGUCCCCCACACUGGUACUGAGACACGGACCAGACUCCUACGGGAGGCAGCAGUGAGGAAUAUUGGUCAAUGGCCGGGAGGCUGAACCAGCCAAGUCGCGUGAGGGAAGACGGUCCUAUGGAUUGUAAACCUCUUUUGUCAGGGAGCAAAAACUGCCACGCGUGGCAGGAUGAGAGUACCUGAAGAAAAAGCAUCGGCUAACUCCGUGCCAGCAGCCGCGGUAAUACGGAGGAUGCGAGCGUUAUCCGGAUUUAUUGGGUUUAAAGGGUGCGUAGGCGGACAGUUAAGUCAGCGGUAAAAUUGAGAGGCUCAACCUCUUCCCGCCGUUGAAACUGAUUGUCUUGAGUGGGCGAGAAGUAUGCGGAAUGCGUGGUGUAGCGGUGAAAUGCAUAGAUAUCACGCAGAACUCCGAUUGCGAAGGCAGCAUACCGGCGCCCAACUGACGCUGAAGCACGAAAGCGUGGGUAUCGAACAGGAUUAGAUACCCUGGUAGUCCACGCAGUAAACGAUGAAUACUAAUUGUUCGGGUCGAGUGAGAUCUGAGUGAUACAGCGAAAGCGUUAAGUAUUCCACCUGGGGAGUACGCCGGCAACGGUGAAACUCAAAGGAAUUGACGGGGGCCCGCACAAGCGGAGGAACAUGUGGUUUAAUUCGAUGAUACGCGAGGAACCUUACCCGGGCUCAAACGACACAGGAAUGAUCUGAGAAAUCAGGCAGUCCUUCGGGACCUGUGUCGAGGUGCUGCAUGGUUGUCGUCAGCUCGUGCCGUGAGGUGUCGGCUUAAGUGCCAUAACGAGCGCAACCCCCAUCGACAGUUGCCAGCAGGUCAAGCUGGGCACUCUGUCGAGACUGCCGGCGCAAGCUGUGAGGAAGGCGGGGAUGACGUCAAAUCAGCACGGCCCUUACGUCCGGGGCGACACACGUGUUACAAUGGCAGGUACAGCGGGAAGCCACCUGGCGACAGGGAGCGGAACCCGAAAGCCUGUCUCAGUUCGGAUUGGAGUCUGCAACUCGACUCCAUGAAGCUGGAUUCGCUAGUAAUCGCGCAUCAGCCACGGCGCGGUGAAUACGUUCCCGGGCCU